ensembl:piRNA 21ur-8477 ncRNA
UAUUAUACCUUUAUUCCCAAA